CAGCAGCCACGGUAAUACGAAGGGGGCUAGCGUUGUUCGGAUUUACUGGGCGUAAAGCGUGCGUAGGCGGUGAGUUAAGUCUGCUGUGAAAUCCCCGGGCUCAACCUGGGAAUGGCAGUGGAUACUGGCUCGCUAGAGUGUGUCAGAGGAUGGUGGAAUUCCCGGUGUAGCGGUGAAAUGCGUAGAGAUCGGGAGGAACAUCAGUGGCGAAGGCGGCCAUCUGGGACAACACUGACGCUGAGGCACGAAAGCGUGGGGAGCAAACAGGAUUAGAUACCCCCGUAGUCCCUGUCUCUUAUAA
rnacentral:rRNA from 1 species